UUGAAGGCCAGAUGUCCACAUGACCAUCACCAUCUAAUUCUUUCAUGUGAAGCCUGAAAACCAUGAGGAGUGAUUGAGAUCAAUUAUGUUAGCAGUCCAAUUAAAAACAGAAGUUGAUUGGAACAAAAACCUUCAGCCACAAGAAAGAAAAAAAUUAAAAUGACAUACAGAAAGCCAUAACAUCCUAGAGAGAAGAGCACCAGAGUCUAGGACAGCAGUACUCAAGUUCAGUCCUUGGAUGCCAUGAUGGAUGCAAGUUUCUAUUCCAAGCAGAGCCACAAAUCAGUGAGCCAGGCUGUGUGUUUAAUUUUUCUCAUUGUUUAAUUAGUGAGCCUUUUUUCUUGUUAUUUUGCAUUAACAAAAGCGUGCUAGUAGGAUAUUUACAGUGUCUAUAAAAAGUAUUCAUCCCCUUGGAAGUAUUCAUAUUUUACUGUUAUACAACAUUGUAUCAAGGUGGAUUUUGUUAGGCUUUUUUGACACUGACCUACUGAAAAAGGCUCUUUAAUGUUAAUGUGAUAACAGAUCUCUACAAAGCAGCUCUGAUAAAUGGCAAAUUUAAAGCACAAAGUAAUUGUUGUCAUAAGUAUUCACCCCCUUAGUUCAGUAUUUAGUCAGCCAUGACAGCCUUCAGUCUGUACGCACAGGUCUUUAUCUAUCAGCUUUGCACAUCCAGACUUUUUCCCCAUACCUUCUGUGCAAAACUGCUCAAGUUCUGCCAGGUCACACAGGAAUCGCAAGUGAACAGCCUUUGUCAAGUCCAGCCACAAAUUCUCUGGACUCUGACUCAGCCACUACAUUGUAUUCACAUUGUUGUUUUUAGCCAUUCAUUUGUAGCUUUGACUUUAUGCUUGGGGACUUUGUCUAACUGGCUAGCAAACAUUUUCCAAAUGUGCAGGUUUUUUACAGACUGCAUCAGGUUUUCCUGCAGCUAAUCUUCUACCUGAAGGCAGGAGGUCAAACAGUAUGUGUGACGGACGAAUGAGAGACAUCUUUCACAAUUGUGGAGGCUCUAUGCAGACAACAUAUCUGAAAAACAUCCUGGUUCGAAGAGAGGGAGACCCCUAUGAUCCUCUCAGCUGUCCUCACAUUCCUUCUCCUUAACUCUUGGUUCAAACAGGGACAGCCAUCUCUUGCAUCUUUGCUGCCUUAGAUGAAGCUGUAAAUGGCACCCAAAGUAUGACCGAUUCUCUGACACAACACUUUCAAAAAUGUAGGAUUAUAUACAUUUCACUCUUUUAUCUAGUAUUACCUAUAUAACAUUUAUUUUGUAAUCUGGUAGUUUAAAUGGA